rnacentral:tRNA from 1 species
GGGGCUGUGGCUCAGAGGUAAAGCAUUUGUUUGGCAUGCAUAAGGUCUCAGGUUCAAUCCCUAGCAUCUUCA